rnacentral:lncRNA from 1 species
CGUGCCAAGUUUGGGGAGGGAUAUGAAAAACGAGGAUUGGAUUGAAUGAGAAAAGGAGAGAGAAGGGAUGCGACAUGCCCAAUUGCACCGGAAGCAUGCAAAUCGCGAACUGGAUUCCACCCUGGGAAAUGGAGGACUGCGUCAUGCCCAAUGCAGUGAGAACGAGAAAAACCCAGGGAAAAUGGUCAUACCAGAAGAUGAAAGACCAGCAGUGAGAGGUCAAGGUUGCUCCUCAUCACCUGGAGGUGGAGAUCAGGUUGCCCCACCGCCACCCUCUCUGCCUGGAAUGUUCUCUCUCCUCGGCUACACUUCUGGAGAGCCUUCACUGUCUUCAGGUUCCAGCACCACCUGCUUGCUCUACACACCCUGCCUCUCCCGAUUUCCUCACUCUUUGUAUAUUUCACUUUGUAGAUUUCCUUAUCUUCAUAGACCGCCUUUUCUUCCAAGCACAAAUUGGGAUUCUUUCCCUUUUUUAUGCCCAGCCCGUGGCGCAGCUCCUGGCACAUGGGGGGCGGUGACGAAAUACUCGCGACUGAUCGGGGUGUCCAUCAUGGAGAGAACCCUCAAAGUCUUUCCCUUGCAGUGGCUGCAGCCCAGAAGAGAUCUUUCUGCAUCAUCUGCACCCCGCGGGAGAGGUAUUUUGGUGGACGUGAAUCAUGGCUCCCGUGUACUUAGCGGGUUAAGAUUUUUCCCUUUAGAAGAAGGCCAGAGCAAGUGUUAG